rnacentral:rRNA from 1 species
AUUGAACGCUGGCGGAAUGCUUUACACAUGCAAGUCGAACGGCAGCACGGACUUCGGUCUGGUGGCGAGUGGCGAACGGGUGAGUAAUGUAUCGGAACGUGCCCAGUCGUGGGGGAUAACGUAGUGAAAAUUACGCUAAUACCGCAUACGAUCUAUGGAUGAAAGCGGGGGAUCGCAAGACCUCGCGCGAUUGGAGCGGCCGAUAUCAGAUUAGGUAGUUGGUGGGGUAAAGGCCCACCAAGCCAACGAUCUGUAGCUGGUCUGAGAGGACGCACAGCCACACUGGAACUGAGACACGGUCCGGAAUCCUACGGGAGGCAGCAGUGGGGAAUUUUGGACCAUGGGCGAGAGACUGAUCCAGCCAUUCCGCGUGCAGGAUGAAGGCCCUCGGGUUGUAAACUGCUUUUGUACAGAACGAAAAGGUUUCUACUAAUACUAGGAGCUCAUGACGGUACUGUAAGAAUAAGCACCGGCUAACUACGUGCCAGCAGCCGCCGCCG